rnacentral:rRNA from 1 species
CCUACGGGUGGCAGCAGUGGGGAAUAUUGCGCAAUGGGCGCAAGCCUGACCCAGCAACGCCGCGUGAAGGAAGAAGGCCUUCGGGUUGUAAACUUCUUUUGUCAGGGACGAAAAUAAUGACGGUACCUGACGAAUAAACCACGGCUAACUACGUGCCAGCAGCCGCUGUACGACGUAGGUGGCAAGCGUUCUCCGGAUUUACUGGGGGGAAAGGGCGUGUAGGCGGGGGAGCAAGUCAGAUGUGAACUUCCGGGGCUCAACCCUGGAACUGCAUUUGAUACUGGUUUUCUAGAGUAUGGGAGAGGUAAGUGGAAGUCCUGGUGUAGGGGUAAAAUCCGUAGAGAUCAAGAGGAACACUCAUUGCGAAGGCGACCUACUAGAACAUAACUGACGCUGAGGCGCGAAAGCGUGGGGAGCAAACAGGAUUAGAUACCCUUGUAGUC